GAUGAACGCUGGCGGCGUGCCUAAUACACGCAAGUCGAGCGAACAGACGAGGAGCUUGCUCCUCUGACGUUAGCGGCGGACGGGUGAGUAACACGUGGAUAACCUACCUAUAAGACUGGGAUAACUUCGGGAAACCGGAGCUAAUACCGGAUAAUAUAUUUAACCGCAUGGUUCAAUAGUGAAAGACGGUUUUGCUGUCACUUAUAGAUGGAUCCGCGCCGCAUUAGCUAGUUGGUAAGGUAACGGCUUACCAAGGCAACGAUGCGUAGCCGACCUGAGAGGGUGAUCGGCCACACUGGAACUGAGACACGGUCCAGACUCCUACGGGAGGCAGCAGUAGGGAAUCUUCCGCAAUGGGCGAAAGCCUGACGGAGCAACGCCGCGUGAGUGAUGAAGGUCUUCGGAUCGUAAAACUCUGUUAUUAGGGAAGAACAAAUGUGUAAGUGACUAUGCACGUCUUGACGGUACCUAAUCAGAAAGCCACGGCUAACUACGUG
rnacentral:rRNA from 1 species